AAGAUCUAAACACGAUCAGGGACACGUUUUCCAGACGCACCGCCACCGAUUGCAGCGCUUCCGGUUCACCAAAAGCGUGAAAUAAGUUGAGCUUUCAGCGCACCUCUGUCGUCGGACAUGUCUCAUGUUUUGAGGACUCUUGGCACAGGAGUUUUGGCCGUUCAAAGAUCAGUGUCCGCCGUGCAGCUCCUGAAGGUCGGCGCUCUGCAAAGGAGUUGCUGUGAUGCAGUGAAGGACAGCCAGAGUCCGCCGUUUGACGAGGCCCUGCUGGAGGUCCUGGUGUGUCCGCUGUCCAAAAAACCACUCAGGUACGACGGAAGCAGCAACGAACUGAUAAACGAAGAGCUUGGCAUCGCAUACCCCAUCAUUGAUGGCAUUCCUAACAUGAUCCCACAAGACGCACGAAUGAUCCACAAGACCAAAGCACCCGAAAAACCCUCAGAGUCAUAACUCAGAUUUGCCAUUAAUUAUUUAUUUUCCACCACAAUGUUUUUCUCCCUAUCAACAGUGACUGUACUUGUGCCACUUAUAUCUUUAACUGGACUGUUUUACUCUGCAGCUGUGGAUGAGAAUUUCCCACAAGGCUGCACGAGUGCAAGCAGCAUCUGUUUUUACAGCCUGCUUUUGCCCGUAACUAUUCCUGUGUAUGUGUUUUUUCACCUUUGGAAGUGGAUGGGAAUCAAAUUAUUUAGACACAAUUGAUUUCCUUCCACCUUUUAAUUAUGAACAAAACUUGCUUGUAAACAACGGACACUGAAGAUGUAGUCAAGAACAUUUACCUUGAAGCAAACGCUGAGCUCUUUUCUCAGCACUCUCCGUGAGCUUCAUCAAAGGACACAAGGGUUUCGGCGAAUCUUCACCCUUUACCUUAAAGUAGAAGCACUCAUUCAGGCGAGUCUGGAUGACCUUCAGAUGGGGGACAUCGCCUUUGGUUUUGGAUGCUAUUUCUCCUUCUUCGCUCGACGUAUCUGAGAUUUUGGUACGAUUGGCUGAAUUGAUAGUAGUUUGUUUUUGUCUUCUUCUGUUCGGCAAGCUCAAAUCUAUUGGUUCUUCUUCACAUCUGGACUUGUUCUGCUGCUGCUGAAACCUAAAAGAGGUGGAGAGUGCUGGAAAGGUGAAGAAGUUUUCUGUUUGAGUGGUCGCUUCAGUCGUCAAUGCACAUGAACGGAUCUCUGGUGGCCUUGUGCUAAUGGCUUCGUUGCCGCUUGAGCUGCUGGAAAUCUCCACCGGUGGAUCCAGGAAUGAUUUCUGCGUGAUAAACAGGUCUUGGCUGCUCAUUUCUUCAGCUAUAUUGUAUUCCAAGCUGCUUUCGACGAUAAACUGCUUCUUUGAAUAUUCAUCGUCACUUGUUUGGUCUUGCUCAGGAGGCAGGUUGAAGAUGACUCGCUUUUUUUCUUUCCCCACGUGUUUCUUGUGACAUUUGUUUUUGAUUGUUUGUGGUUUCUUCUGGACCGGAGAGAUGUAAAUGAUGGGUUGAGUUUGGUGGAGAUGUUUGGGUUGUUUUCGGACUUUAGGGUACUGGAGGUCUUUUUUUGCUUUCUUUGUCUUUUUGGUUUGUGUAGAGAGCAUCUCAUGCAAGCUGUAGUGUGUCAGGAAGUUUGCCACGUGCUUAUUUUUUUUCUUAUCCUUUUUUUCCUUCUUUGCCUUCUUUUUCUUGUGUUUAUGCUUCUUGAACACUGUAGCAUUUUCAAUGUUGGGAAUUAUGACUUUUGUUGAAGACAUUAUUUCUAUAAAACAGAGAGUAACAGUGUAAAGCUGUAGUUAGAUAUUAGCAAAAUCACCAAAAAGUCAUAUACAAUUUAGGCAUAAGACGAUAACCGGUUUUAAGGUUUACAGCGGUUUGGAAAAAUGAAGGUUUUACUUCACUGUCAUACAGUGAAACCGUGGUAUUUUUUUAUGGUAUAAAGUUAUCAUACCGUCACAAACUAGGCCCAUGCCUAAUCCAAAUAAGCUUGUUUCAUCAAGUGUGCAUUAAAGAAACCUUUUAUUAAAAAAUAUACAAAAACUUAAA